rnacentral:rRNA from 1 species
AGCAGUCGCCACGGGAAUACGUAGGUGGCAAGCGUUGUCCGGAAUUAUUGGGCGUAAAGCGCGCGCAGGCGGAUAGGUCAGUCUGUCUUAAAAGUUCGGGGCUUAACCCCGUGAUGGGAUGGAAACUGCCAAUCUAGAGUAUCGGAGAGGAAAGUGGAAUUCCUAGUGUAGCGGUGAAAUGCGUAGAUAUUAGGAAGAACACCAGUGGCGAAGGCGACUUUCUGGACGAAAACUGACGCUGAGGCGCGAAAGCCAGGGGAGCGAACGGGAUUAGAGACCCCAGUAGUCCCUGUCUCUUAUACA